rnacentral:misc_RNA from 1 species
GAUGAAGAACGCAGCGAAAUGCGAUAAGUAAUGUGAAUUGCAGAAUUCCGUGAAUCAUCGAAUCUUUGAACGCACAUUGCGCCCUCUGGUAUUCCGGGGGGCAUGCCUGUUCGAGCGUCAUUAUAACCACUCAAGCUCUCGCUUGGUAUUGGGGCUCGCGGUUCCGCGGCCCCUAAAAUCAGUGGCGGUGCCUGUCGGCUCUACGCGUAGUAAUACUCCUCGCGAUUGAGUCCGGUAGGUCUACUUGCCAGCAACCCCCAAUUUUUACAGGUUGACCUCGGAUCAGGUAGGGAUACCCGCUGAACUUAAGCAUAUCAAUAAGCGGAGGA